UACGAAGGGGGCUAGCGUUGCUCGGAAUUACUGGGCGUAAAGCACACGUAGGCGGAUUGUUAAGUCGGGGGUGAAAUCCUGGAGCUCAACUCCAGAACUGCCUUCGAUACUGGCGAUCUAGAGUCCGGGAGAGGUGAGUGGAACUGCGAGUGUAGAGGUGAAAUUCGUAGAUAUUCGCAAGAACACCAGUGGCGAAGGCGGCUCACUGGCCCGGUACUGACGCUGAGGUGCGAAAGCGUGGGGAGCAAACAGG
rnacentral:rRNA from 1 species